UCCCUGUGCUUUUCCUUCCAAGUCCUGGGCCAAGAAGUGCAUUUAGAGGCAGCGGCAACCUGGGGUGGAUUGGGGCAUCACAGAUUUGCUGUCUGGAAGCCGGGUGGGCUCCAUAUUUGUCACUAGUCAUCUUCCUACUCCAUGCCCACUGUCACCCUCUCAGGCGUUGGUACCUGCGUGUUUCCGGGCCUCUCUCAAUUCUGAAAGCAAGCAGACAGAACAGGCAGUUCAGUGCUCAGGUGGGGAACAGGACACAGGGAGAAGGGAGAGACCAAGGAUGAGGACCUUUUUGAGUGUCAUGGGCCCUCUCAAGAGAUCUGAAGGCAGCUAUGGGGCUUCUCUACAAAAUGCACCUCCCCCAGAAUCUAGACAAUUCAGGGUCCCCAUCACAAACUUGGUUCUGCAGGGACCCAUGGGCCUCAGGAUAUAAAAAUCCAUAAAUGAGGAACUUGGAAGAAAGAGGUAAGUUGAGGGAGCAGAGUCUCUCACCUGCCUGUUUGUGUAUCUUCACCAAGUCUGAAACAAAAAGAAAAAAAGAAAAACACAUAAGAGGCUGACAUCACAGAGCAGGGCCCAAGGACAGCGUGGGAGGAAAGCCCUGCAUGUGAUAACACUCUCACUUAGUUUAUCCUGCAGUUUCCACGAAACAAAAAGCAGACGAUUUAGUGGUUGAUACAGGACUGGGUAAAGUCUCAAAGCAUCAGGCCAGGGAGGUUGAGGAUCACCCACCAAUUUUUCUCAAGUUCCUCCCUGUGGUCCACACCCUCAGAGCUCGUGAUCAACACCUCCCCCCACCACACACAGAGCGGACCAACGGGCAACAGGCACAGAUGGGACUUCCAGGCCCUGAGGCCUAUCCUAAGCCCUCCAGAUAUCUGAGGGGCAACUCAUUAGCCGUGGAUGGAGAGAGCGAGGCAGCUGCUCUCCUCCCCCUGCCAGUACUUCCUGUCCAGCCUGGAGCCGGGGUCUCCAGAGGCUCACGCUGUGGAUCAGGGAGGGACCCGGGAGAACCAUGUGUGGGAGGCUCAGGACGUGACACACACUUACCCAAUUCUGCCUGGAUUUUCCCUGAAACAGAAACAGUGUAUUCAGUGGUGGACACAGGAGUGUGCAAGCCCCCCGCACGGAUCGUAGCUGUCUGGCGGGAAGCAAGAGAUCAGGAAGGUUCAUGCUAAGGAGAAGGACAACAGCAGGGAUGCUGUGGAGGUGGCGGACCCUGGGGGCCUAGGGCUGGAACAACAGAGCCCGGAGGUGUGUGAGGGCAGCCUGAUACCAGCUCCACAGGAACCAC